rnacentral:rRNA from 1 species
GACGAACGCUGGCGGCGUGCCUAAUACAUGCAAGUCGAACGCAUUUUCUUUCACCGUAGCUUGCUACACCGAAAGAAAAUGAGUGGCGAACGGGUGAGUAACACGUGGGCAACCUGCCCAUCAGCGGGGGAUAACACUUGGAAACAGGUGCUAAUACCGCAUAAUUCCAUUUACCGCAUGGUAGAGGGAUGAAAGGCGCUUUUGCGUCACUGAUGGAUGGACCCGCGGUGCAUUAGCUAGUUGGUGGGGUAACGGCCUACCAAGGCUGCGAUGCAUAGCCGACCUGAGGGGGUGAUCGGCCACACUGGGACUGAGACACGGCCCAGACUCCUACGGGAGGCAGCAGUAGGGAAUCUGCGGCAAGGGGCGAAAGUCUGACCGAGCAACGCCGCGUGGGGGAAGAAGGUUUUCGGAUUGUAAAACUCUGUUGUUAGGGAAGAAAAGGGGUGGGAGGGGAAAGUUCACCCCUUGAGGGAAUCAAACCAAAAAACCCCGGCAAACUACGU